ensembl:lincRNA 2900076A07Rik RIKEN cDNA 2900076A07 gene
GGGUUAGAGGAAUAUUUAUACAUUUAUCUGGACCAAGAAUUAUGAACCAAAUUUAUGAUUCAGAGCUUGUAAAAUAACAUAUGAUAGACCUUCGGGUUAUCUUAGGAAUAGUCAAUGCUACAGCAAGUAUUAAAUGUGAGUGUCAGAGCUCUCUUGUACUAAUGACAUCCAGCACCAGCCUUGGUCCUUCCACACUCAUUCUCUGCACAGAUCAGAAGUAACUACAAUUACUGAGGGACUGUGUCAGACCCCUAGGUAUUAGGACAGAAGACAACUUAGCCUCAUCCCACAGCCCCAAGAGCAUACACUGGACGGCUGCUUUGAUUUCUAAUGGAAAAGCUUUCCUUUGAUUUGUGGGAUAAGUUGAUGUCUCAUUUCUCUCUUCAGGUAUAUAUAUGUAUUACCUGAAAGCCCAGGGCAGUUGUUGCCUUGGGUCAUGCAGAGAAUAUGCAGCCACACCCAUGCCUUAGAUGUGUGUAAUUCAAGUGGAGAAGACACAAGCCAGUGGUCGCAAUAUCAACACUUGAGUGUUCUGUAAACGGAUUGGUGUCAGCAGAAAACCAACAGUGAUGUGGUGGCACACAGUGAACUGACAGGACCCAGGCAGCAGCGGUUCUUUUGGUGGCAAUGGUGCCAUGUCAUGGGUACUCUCCUUGCUGAUGGCAGAUACCGACAGGCAAACUGUUGCCUUGCGUUUAGCUCUGUU